rnacentral:rRNA from 1 species
ACGUAUGGGGCGAGCGUUAUCCGGAUUCAUUGGGCGUAAAGCGCGCGUAGGCGGCCUGGCAGGCCGGGAGUCAAAUCCGGGGGCUCAACCCCCGCCCGCUCCCGGAACCUCCAGGCUUGAGUCUGGCAGGGGAGGGUGGAAUACCCGGUGUAGCGGUGGAAUGCGCAGAUAUCGGGUAGAACACCGGUGGCGAAGGCGGCCCUCUGGGCCACGACUGACGCUGAGGCGCGAAAGCUGGGGGAGCGAACAG